rnacentral:rRNA from 1 species
CAUGGCAGACGGGUGAGUAACGCGUGGGGAACCUACUUUUUAGUGGGGAAUAACGCUCCGAAAGGAGUGGUAAUACCGCAUGUGAUCAUCGGUUGGGAUACUGGUGAUGAAAGCUGGGGCAACCUAGCGCUAGAAAGAGGGUCCUGCGUCUGAUUAGCUAGUUGGUGGGGUAACGGCCUACCAAGGCGACGAUCAGUAGCCGGCCUGAGAGGUUGAUCGGCCACACUGGAACUGAGACACGGUCCAGACUCCUACGGGAGGCACCAGUGGGGAAUUUUGCGCAAUGGACGAAAGUCUGACGCAGCACCCCCGCGUGGGUGAUGAAGGUCUUCGGAUCGUAAAACCCUGUCGUCAGGGACGAAGGGUUGCGACCUAAUACGUCGUAACCUUGACGGUACCUGGAGAGGAAGCCCCGGCUAACUCUGUGCCAGCAGCCGCGGUAAUACAGAGGGGGCAAGCGUUAUUCGGAAUUAUUGGGCGUAAAGGGCGCGUAGGCGGUGAUUUAAGUGAGAUGUGCAAUCCCCGGGCUUAACCUGGGAACUGCAUCUCAUACUGGAUCGCUAGAGUGCUGGAGAGGGUGGUAGAAUUCCACGUGUAGCGGUGAAAUGCGUAGAGAUGUGGAGGAAUACCAGUGGCGAAGGCGGCCACCUGGACAGUAACUGACGCUGAGGCGCGAAAGUGUGGGGAGCAAACAGGAUUAGAUACCCUGGUAGUCCGCGCU